rnacentral:rRNA from 1 species
UACGUAGGGGGCUAGCGUUGUCCGGAAUCAUUGGGCGUAAAGCGCGUGUAGGCGGCCCGGUAAGUCCGCUGUGAAAGUCGGGGGCUCAACCCUCGGAAGCCGGUGGAUACUGUCGGGCUCGAGUACGGAAGAGGCGAGUGGAAUUCCUGGUGUAGCGGUGAAAUGCGCAGAUAUCAGGAGGAACACCGAUUGCGAAGGCAGCUCGCUGGGACGUAACUGACGCUGAGGCGCGAAAGCGUGGGGAGCGAGCCGG